AACGUAGGUGGCAAGCGUUAUCCGGAUUUACUGGGCGUAAAGGGUGUGCAGGCGGGGCAGCAAGUGGUGUAUGAAAGGGCGCGGCUUAACCGCGCUAAGUUAUGCCAGACUGCGGCUCUAGAGGCUGAGCGAGGGGCGUGGAAUUCCGGGUGUAGUGGUGAAAUGCGUAGAGAUCCGGAGGAACCCCAGAGGCGAAGGCGGCGCCCUAGCUCACGCCUGACGCUCUUCCACGACAGCAUGGGGAGCGAACGGG
rnacentral:rRNA from 1 species